rnacentral:lncRNA from 1 species
CACAUUCAUUCUCUCAUCCACACAUUUAGCUACAAUUAUUUGUCACAUUCACUCACUCUCUACACAUUUUAAUUCAAGUGUCAUUCUCACAUUCAUUUAGCCGGAAACAUUUCCCACAUUCACUCAAAAAAGACGCUCAUUUGAUCGGAAAAGGUAAGUAAUUCAAAAUUUGUAUUUAAUAUUUGUGCUACUUAGCAGUUAGUUGAAUAACUUGAAAGAAAAUAUACCUUUAAACUAUAAUUUACUCGAAAAACCUAGUCUCUGUGUCACGGAGAUCGCUUCUCCGUGACAUGGAGAGAGCUUCUCUCUGUGUCACGGAGACGCUGCUCUCCGUGACACUCUCAUAGUGUCACGGAGACACAGAAAUGCAACCACCAUAUUUUUUUUUGUAAUUGCCUACCCAGUAUGUUUUACGUCAUAUGUAAACAAAAAUAUUACAUUUUGUUUAAAAUAUUAAUUUUUGAUUUUAAUUUUGUUUAGUAUACAAG